UACGAAGGGGGCUAGCGUUGCUCGGAAUCACUGGGCGUAAAGCGCACGUAGGCGGACUCUUAAGUCGGUGGUGAAAUCCUGGAGCUCAACUCCAGAACUGCCUUCGAUACUGGGAGUCUUGAGUCCGAGAGAGGUGAGUGGAACUGCGAGUGUAGAGGUGAAAUUCGUAGAUAUUCGCAAGAACACCAGUGGCGAAGGCGGCUCACUGGCUCGGUACUGACGCUGAGGUGCGAAAGCGUGGGGAGCAACAGG
rnacentral:rRNA from 1 species